UACGAAGGGGGCUAGCGUUGCUCGGAAUGACUGGGCGUAAAGGGCGCGUAGGCGGAUGGCACAGUCAGAUGUGAAAUUCCCGGGCUUAACCUGGGGGCUGCAUUUGAUACGUGUUGUCUUGAGUUCGGAAGAGGGUCGUGGAAUUCCCAGUGUAGAGGUGAAAUUCGUAGAUAUCGGGAGGAACACCAGAGGCGAAGGCGGCGACCUGGAAGGUAACUGACGCUGAUGCACGAAAGCUAGGGGAGCAAACAGG
rnacentral:rRNA from 1 species